GGUGAGGACUAUAUCCUAUAUUGCCAUCCAGAAAUUCAGAAAACGCCAAAGUCUGAUAAACUACGAGAAUGGUACUUAGCAAUGUUGAGAAAAGCUGCAAAGGAAGGGAUUGUUGCGGAAACUACAAAUCUAUAUGACCAUUUUUUCUUGCAAACUGGUGAAUGUAGAGCUAAGGUUACAGCAGCUAGGCUCCCCUACUUCGAUGGUGACUACUGGCCAGGUGCAGCAGAGGAUAUUAUAUACCAAAUGAGUCAAGAUGAUGAUGGUAGAAAGGGAAAUAAGAAAGGAAUACUCAAGAAACCCAUUACAAAAAGGGCUCUUAAAGCAUCUGGCCAGUCAGAUUUCUCAGGGAAUGCGUCCAAAGAUCUGCUGCUAAUGCAUAAACUUGGUGAGA